AUUCAGUUGAUGAGUCGCAAAUAAGACGAAAUGUGCGUUCUGGAC
rnacentral:hammerhead_ribozyme from 1 species